GUGGGAGGGGGCUUGCUCCCGAUGGCGGACUGUCAGUUGGUACAGUUGUCGCUGAACCACCGCUAUCGGGAGCAAGCCCCCUCCCAC
rnacentral:misc_RNA from 1 species